rnacentral:rRNA from 1 species
AUUGAACGCUGGCGGCAUGCCUUACGCAUGCAAGUCGAACGGCAGCGCGGGCUUCGGCCUGGCGGCGAGUGGCGGACGGGUGAGUAAUGCAUCGGAACGUGCCCAGGAGUGGGGGAUAACGUAGCGAAAGUUACGCUAAUACCGCAUACGUACUGAGGUAGAAAGCGGGGGAUCGAAAGACCUCGCGCUCAUGGAGCGGCCGAUGUCGGAUUAGCUAGUUGGUGAGGUAAAAGCUCACCAAGGCGACGAUCCGUAGCUGGUCUGAGAGGACGCACAGCCACCUUGGGACUGAGACACGGCCCAGACUCCUACGGGAGGCAGCAGUGGGCAAACUUGGACAAUGGGGGAAACCCUGAUCCAGCAAUGCCGCGUGUGGGAUGAAGGCCCUCGGGUUGUAAACCACUUUUGGCAGGAAAGAAAUCGCCCGUGCUAAUACCAUGGGCGGAUGACGGUACCUGCAGAAUAAGCACCGGCUAACUACGUGCCAGCAGCCGCAGUAA